GAUGAACGCUGGCGGCGUGCCUAAUACAUGCAAGUCGAGCGAACAGACGAGGAGCUUGCUCCUCUGACGUUAGCGGCGGACGGGUGAGUAACACGUGGAUAACCUACCUAUAAGACUGGGAUAACUUCGGGAAACCGGAGCUAAUACCGGAUAAUAUAUUGAACCGCAUGGUUCAAUAGUGAAAGACGGUUUUGCUGUCACUUAUAGAUGGAUCCGCGCCGCAUUAGCUAGUUGGUAAGGUAACGGCUUACCAAGGCGACGAUGCGUAGCCGACCUGAAAGGGUGAUCGGCCACACUGGAACUGAGACACGGUCCAGACUCCUACGGGAGGCAGCAGUAGGGAAUCUUCCGCAAUGGGCGAAAGCCUGACGGAGCAACGCCGCGUGAGUGAUGAAGGUCUUCGGAUCGUAAAACUCUGUUAUUAGGGAAGAACAAAUGUGUAAGUAACUAUGCACGUCUUGACGGUACCUAAUCAGAAAGCCACGGCUAACUACGUG
rnacentral:rRNA from 1 species